CCCAGACAGUCGACAAUAACGCCUUCUCACACGUGUUGAAUUUAACUUCAACAGGCGACAAAGUCUUGCUAGCAUAUGCAAUAACUUUGUUUAAACUGUCCUGCUUCUGAUACAGAACAGCACUUAUGCUUAAGUCGGUAUAACCUGUCUCCAGAUAGAAGGGUUUACCCCCCUCUGGGUAUGCUAAACAGGGUGCCUGAGUGAGCUUCCUCCUCAGUUCACUUACCGCUUGGUCCUGAGGCUCCCCCCAGUUCCAGGUAGUUUCCUUUUUAAGCAGGUGUAAUAGUGGUUUAGUUAUUUCUGCAUAGUUAUCUAUAAACUUACGGGAGUAGUUAGUCAUACCAAGGAACGAUCUUAAUUCCCUGAUGUUUGAA